UACGGUAGCUACCUAUGUCCUAUACGUGUAUGUUUAAGUCAGUAGACCACAUGACUUCUAGAGGCUAGGGCUGAGGGCUAUGUCUACUACCAAAUAUGCAUGCACAAUUAUAAUUCUUGUUCUUUUUAUGAUAAUGUGGCCACUCAUCCAAAAAUCAUGGAUUCAAAACAGUGCUUGAUAGAACAUUGAUGAUCAAGAAAUAUUUGUUGAGUGAAUGAAGGAAAUAAAGGAACUAAUCUC